UACGUAGGGGGGCGAGCGUUGUCCGGAUUCAUUGGGCGUAAAGCGCGGGCAGGCGGCCCGCUCAGUCGGCCGUGAAAGCGCCGGGCUCAACUCGGCGAGGUCGGGCGAUACUGGCGGGCUGGAGGCUGGUAGAGGGCGGUGGAAUUCCGGGUGUAGUGGUGGAAUGCGUAGAGCUCCGGAGGAACACCAGUGGCGAAGGCGGCCGCCUGG
rnacentral:rRNA from 1 species